rnacentral:rRNA from 1 species
UGAACGCUGGCGGCGUGCUUAACACAUGCAAGUCGAACGAGAAAGGGAUUGCUUGCAAUCCUGAGUAGAGUGGCGCACGGGUGAGUAACACGUAGAUAAUCUACCUUCAAGCCUGGAAUAACUAUUCGAAAGGAUAGCUAAUACCGGAUAAAGUUGUUCAACUCAAGUUGAAUUAUGAAAGAUUGCCUCUUCAUGAAAGCAAUUGUUUGGAGAUGAGUUUGCGGACCAUUAGUUAGUUGGUGGGGUAAAGGCCUACCAAGACUACGAUGGUUAGCUGGUCUGAGAGGAUGAUCAGCCACACUGGAACUGGUACACGGUCCAGACUCCUACGGGAGGCAGCAGUGAGGAAUUUUGCGCAAUGGGGGAAACCCUGACGCAGCAACGCCGCGUGAGUGAAGAAGGCCCUUGGGUCGUAAAGCUCUGUCGACAGGGAAGAAAUUGUAGAUAUCCAAUAGGUAUUUACAUUGACGGUACCUGUAGAGGAAGCACCGGCUAACUCC